AGCCAACAGGGAUUGCCCCAGUAACGGCGAGUGAAGCGGCAGGAGCUCAAAUUUGAAAUCUGGGGCCCCCGGCCUCCGAGUUGUAAUUUGGAGAGGCUCCUUCGGGGGGGAGCGCUGGCCCAUGUUCCUUGGAACAGGACGUCGCAGAGGGUGAGAAUCCCGUGCCAGGCCGGCUGCCUCCUCCCGCGUGAAGGGCCUUCGACGAGUCGAGUUGUUUGGGAAUGCAGCUCCAAGCGGGUGGUAAAUUUCAUCUAAAGCUAAAUACCGGCGGGAGACCGAUAGCGCACAAGUAGAGUGAUCGAAAGAUGAAAAGCACUUUGAAAAUAGAGUCAAAAAGUACGUGAAAUUGUUGAAAGGGAAGCGCUUGAGACCAGACUCAGACCCGGGCAAACACCGCGCCCCCAGGGGCCGUGCAAUUGCCCGGUGCUGGGCCAGCAUCAGUUGGCGUGGCGGGACAAGGGCGCGGGAAAUGUGGCUCCCCUCGGGGAGUGUUACCAGGCCCGCGCCGGAUGCCGCCGACGCCGACUGAGGACCGCGCCUCGGCUAGGAUGCUGGCUUAAUGGCCUUCAGCGACCCGUCUUGAAACACGGACCAAGGAGUCUAACAUCUAUGCGAGUGUUUGGGCGCCAAACCCUUGCGCGGAAUGAAAGUGAGCGGAGGUGGGAACCCCUCAACCGGGCGCACCAUCGACCGAUCCUGAUGUCUUCGGAUGGAUUUGAGUAGGAGCAUAGCUGUUGGGACCCGAAAGAUGGUGAACUAUGCCUGAAUAGGGUGAAGCCAGAGGAAACUCUGGUGGAGGCUCGCAGCGGUUCUGACGUGCAAAUCGAUCGUCAAAUUUGGGUAUAGGGGCGAAAGACUAAUCGAACCAUCUAGUAGCUGGUUCCUGCCGAG
rnacentral:rRNA from 1 species